rnacentral:rRNA from 1 species
GGGGAACCCUGAUCCAGCCAUGCCGCGUGUGUGAAGAAGGCCUUAUGGUUGUAAAGCACUUUAAGCGAGGAGGAGGCUCUUUUGGUUAAUCCCCAAGAUGAGUGGACGUUACUCGCAGAAUAAGCACCGGCUAACUCUGUGCCAGCAGCCGCGGUAAUACGGAGGGUGCAAGCGUUACUCGGAAUCACUGGGCGUAAAGAGCACGUAGGCGGCCUUGCAAGUCAGAUGUGAAAAACAACGGCUUAACCGUUGAACUGCAUUUGAAACUGCAAGGCUAGAGUAUGGGAGAGGUAGGUGGAAUUCUCGGUGUAGGGGUAAAAUCCGUAGAGAUCGAGAGGAAUACUCAUUGCGAAGGCGACCUGCUGGAACAUUACUGACACUGAGGCACGAAAGCGUGGGGAGCAAACA